AGUGAACGCUGGCGGUAGGCCCAACACAUGCAAGUCGAACGGCAGCACAGUAAGAGCUUGCUCUUACGGGUGGCGAGUGGCGGACGGGUGAGGAAUACAUCGGAAUCUACUUUUUCGUGGGGGAUAACGUAGGGAAACUUACGCUAAUACCGCAUACGACCUACGGGUGAAAGCAGGGGAUCUUCGGACCUUGCGCGAUUGAAUGAGCCGAUGUCGGAUUAGCUAGUUGGCGGGGUAAAGGCCCACCAAGGCGACGAUCCGUAGCUGGUCUGAGAGGAUGAUCAGCCACACUGGAACUGAGACACGGUCCAGACUCCUACGGGAGGCAGCAGUGGGGAAUAUUGAACAAUGGGCGCAAGCCUGAUCCAGCCAUACCGCGUGGGUGAAGAAGGCCUUCGGGUUGUAAAGCCCUUUUGUUGGGAAAGAAAAGCAGCAGGUUAAUACCCCGCUGUUCUGACGGUACCCAAAGAAUAAGCACCGGCUAACUUCGUG
rnacentral:rRNA from 1 species